rnacentral:rRNA from 1 species
UAGUUGGUGAGGUAAGGGCUCACCAAGGCGACGAUCCCUAGCUGGUCUGAGAGGAUGAUCAGCCACACUGGAACUGAGACACGGUCCAGACUCCUACGGGAGGCAGCAGUGGGGAAUAUUGCACAAUGGGCGCAAGCCUGAUGCAGCCAUGCCGCGUGUGUGAAGAAGGCCUUCGGGUUGUAAAGCACUUUCAGUCGUGAGGAAGGUGGUGUAGUUAAUAGCGGCAUCAUUUGACGUUAGCGACAGAAGAAGCACCGGCUAACUCCGUGCCAGCAGCCGCGGUAAUACGGAGGGUGCGAGCGUUAAUCGGAAUUACUGGGCGUAAAGCGCAUGCAGGUGGUUUGUUAAGUCAGAUGUGAAAGCCCGGGGCUCAACCUCGGAAUAGCAUUUGAAACUGGCAGACUAGAGUACUGUAGAGGGGGGUAGAAUUUCAGGUGUAGCGGUGAAAUGCGUAGAGAUCUGAAGGAAUACCGGUGGCGAAGGCGGCCCCCUGGACAGAUACUGACACUCAGAUGCGAAAGCGUGGGGAGCAAACAGGAUUAGAUACCCUGGUAGUCCACGCCGUAAACGAUGUCUACUUGGAGGUUGUGGCCUUGAGCCGUGGCUUUCGGAGCUAACGCGUUAAGUAGACCGCCUGGGGAGUACGGUCGCAAGAUUAAAACUCAAAUGAAUUGACGGGGGCCCGCACAAGCGGUGGAGCAUGUGGUUUAAUUCGAUGCAACGCGAAGAACCUUACCUACUCUUGACAUCCAGAGAACUUUCCAGAGAUGGAUUGGUGCCUUCGGGAACUCU